CAACGCUUGGACAAAGACAUCUUAUGGAUACAAAAGGAAUCAACCCCCUCGCGAUGCUUUCAGCAUCUCAUAUGCUUAUCCUGGGAGGAUUUGGGUCUCAGGAAGGACACAUGGUUGUCUGUCUGCUGCCAGCCCAGACGACAAGGACUGCCCAGUGGUCCCACGGCAUCAGAAGCUAAAUAAAAUGGUUAUUUUAAACCACUAAACUAGGAGAACAUAGAGUUGUUGCACAACAAACAAGAGCUUCUGAAACCGCUUGAUGUCCUAAGGUUAGCAUUCCCUCAAUCUGGACUUGGAACCCCUUCCUGUGGGAGGACUAGAUGAACAUGGAACUGAGCCUGGCAGACACUGCAAAUGAGGCCCCUGCCAGCCAGGGGAAGCAUUGAUAGGCACACUGAGGGUAUGCUGAAGAAGGCAGUGAGGUCCAGCUCCAGGAAGCUGCAGCAACAUUAGGCCACUGCAGCGGACCUCAUUUUCAGAAGGAUUUUAAGCCAAAGCCCAAGGUUUAUUAUAAAGGACUUACAAAGGACAAAGACGAAGAGACACAUAGGGCAAGGUACCAGGGAAGGGGCACAGAGCUUCCAUGCCCUCCCUGGGCGCAUCACUCUACAGGAACCUCCCUGUGUUCAGCUAUCCAGAAGCUCUCCAAACUCCAUCCUCUUGGGCUUUAAUGGAAGCUUCGCAAGCCCUCAAGAUACAUGAAGCUGUGGGCCCUCAGAAACAUCUGGCUCAGCAGAAAUGACUGCAGGGUCUGCCUCUGAAGCCCAGCGUUUCUACUCCAUUUGGGAUAUUCCACACAGGAAGAGAAUUGGAAAUGCUGGAGGCUCCCCACGUCAGGCCGUCCUCCAGGAGUGGCUAUCCAUCUCUAAGGGCUUUCCGGACUGCUGCCCAGCAACUUCAACAGGCACCUCUAAUCGACGACCUCUCCUGCCUCCGCUGGUGUAGGGACGCCAGGCUUCUGAACAGCACUGCUCUCCUCAUUUGCCUUCAAGCUGGCCUAUCUUUCCUGCUGGUGGUGGUGGGCAGAGGCAAGGGUGUGGUCAGCUUUGAAAGAGAUUCCAUUCUUGGAAUAAAGUGAUCUAGCAAACAAAGUCUUCAAAAAAAAAAUACAUGAGGGGAAAAACAAUAAGCUGAACAUGAGCAGAAAACACAUUUUCUUGCAUUUGUGGUCAUCUUCUAUGAAGCACAGUAAGAAUCUUUGGAAGCCAGUCUUCAGGGCAAAAGGAUGGAGGAUGCAGCAUCAUGAGUAUCCAGAGAGUCAGGAUGAAGUUGUUCUUGGGAACUGCAGAGACAAGCAGUUCUAUAUGGUUUCAACACAAAUGGGCUAGGAAGAACCCUGGCACCGUGAGCAAUAAUAGUGUCACUACCUUUUUCUAGAGGUGGGAGACAAAAACUUAGCCAGACACAUUCAACAGUAAGACUCAACAAAGAAUCUUCAUAUUCAUGGACAGAAACUAAAUCUGCCACAUUUCUAGUAAGGUUCUUUCUUGGUUAAUUAAAUGUAUUAAUCUCUUCCAAUUUCUAUGUGCUAUUUGUCCUCAUUCCCCAAAGAUUAUGGCUUAGCUCAGUGUCUGCAGGUGAUUGUUCUUCUCUUGUUGCAGGUAAAAUCAUCCACGAUGCCCUCCAAUAUCAUUCCCAAUCAGUUUCCUGUUUCCCCUUCUCUUGCAGAAGCUCUGGAAGCCCACAGAGAACAGAUGCAUAAACACCAUUUACCAGACACAGCUCAGCAAACCCUCUCUCUCUUCCUUCCAGCAGCUUGGUUGUCCUCAAGGAGUUCCUAAAUUUCAUACUUCUGAGGGUUAUAUGGGAUGGUGAGGGGUGGAGGAGAGUAGCACGGAUUGAAAAAUACAUUAAUGUUGGCUGGGCACAGUGGCUCACACCUGUAAUCCCAGCGCUUUGGGAGGCCGAGGCUGGUAGAUCACCUGAGGUCAGGAGUUUGAGACCAGCCUGGCCAACAUGGCGAAACCCCAUCUCUACUAAAAAUACAAAAUUUAGCUGGGUGUGAUGGCACAUGCUUGUAAUCCCAGCUACUCAGGAGGCUGAGGCAGGAGAAUCGCUUGAACCCAGGAAGCGGAGGUUGCAGUGAGCUGAGAUUGCAGCAUUGCACUCCAGCCUGGGCAACAAGAGAGAUGCUCCAUCUUAAAAAAAAAAAGAAAAAUACAUUAAAGUGUACCAAAAUAAAUAUAUGACAGCUUUUAAAUUAUUUUCCAUGGGAAAAAAACUUAUAAUUAGUGACAAUUACUUACUGAGGGCCUGCUGGGCUAGACAUUAUGGACAUUGUGAAAGAUAAAAAGUUCAAGACACAGACUCUGUUUUCAGGAUGUGUACGCUUUAAAUAUGAAGUUAACACAGGGCAGAAAAGUAGAUACACACAUGCACACACAUACCUAUACACACAUACCUACACACACACACACACACACACACACACACAAAUACUCCUCAGACCCAAAGGACGGAGACAUCACAAUGAACAAGAUGAACAAUUGGUAGGAUUUUAAAAGACUAUUUUCUUUUUCAGCAAGGAGGAUGGAGUGGGCAGGUAGGGGAUGGUAUUUAUUUCCCAAGCAAAUCAAUUAGAAAAAAUAUUUGUAUUUCAGUAAAUUUAUUUUUUUCAAUCUUCAGAUAUAAGAAGGCUUUUCCAUGAAAAACACUCUAUUUA
rnacentral:lncRNA from 10 species